UACGUAGGGUGCGAGCGUUAAUCGGAAUUACUGGGCGUAAAGCGUGCGCAGGCGGUUUUGUAAGCCAGAUGUGAAAUCCCCGGGCUCAACCUGGGAAUGGCAUUUGGGACUGCAAGGCUGGAGUGCGGCAGAGGAGACUGGAAUUCCUGGUGUAGCAGUGAAAUGCGUAGAUAUCAGGAGGAAUACCUAUGGCGAAAGCAGGCUUCUGGGCUAUCACUGACGCUGAUCUGCGAAAGCUAGGGGAGCAAACAGG
rnacentral:rRNA from 1 species